rnacentral:rRNA from 1 species
UGGGGAAUAUUGCACAAUGGGCGCAAGCCUGAUGCAGCCAUGCCGCGUGUAUGAAGAAGGCCUUCGGGUUGUAAAGUACUUUCAGUCGGGAGGAAGGUGGUAAGGUUAAUAACCUUGGCAAUUGACGUUACCGACAGAAGAAGCACCGGCUAACUCCGUGCCAGCAGCCGCGGUAAUACGGAGGGUGCAAGCGUUAAUCGGAAUUACUGGGCGUAAAGCGCACGCAGGCGGUUGAUUGAGUCAGAUGUGAAAUCCCCGGGCUUAACCCGGGAAUUGCAUCUGAUACUGGUAAGCUAGAGUCUUGUAGAGGGAGGUAGAAUUCCAUGUGUAGCGGGGAAAUGCGUAGAGAUGUGGAGGAAUACCGGUGGCGAAGGCGGCCACCUGGACAAAGACUGACGCUAAGGUGCGAAAGCGUGGGGAGCAAACAGG